CCAGAUAAAGUUUUGAAUGAAUUCAUUAAUUGACCAAAUUCUGAUUAAUCACCUUAAAUAGUUACAGAUGGCCAUUGUAGAACUGAAAUAUUAAUGAAAAAAUUGUACAACACCAAUCAACAACAGAUUAAUUCCUGUUUACAGCACACAAGAAGCAAUACCAAGAAAUAUGUGACAUUCAUCAGCCACAGGUAGUCAUUUACUCCAAGUGACAAAGCCUGACACCAAAAUACCCAUUCUUGGAAAAGGGGUGGAUUGUUUUGUGCAAUGGACUUUGCUGAAUAGCGAAUUUGACUGUUUAACUUGACUAUACUCCUGUGCGGAUGGAUUAAAAAACUACCCCAGACUGCUAGACAUGACAGACGUGUAUUAGAAAUAUGAACAUGGACUUAAAACUUUGAAGUGUAGCAAAAAAGUUCAUCGUUGAUGAUAGUGAUUUUCUAAGCUAUAUUGACUGGAACAGGGUUAUUCUUCAGAAAUACAGAGCUGUCAAUGCUGCAAUUUUGUUGUGAAAGUCACAAUCCAUGUUAGAAGUUGCUUGUUUUACUAUACAGCAAAGAAGAAGAAAUUGUACUGGGCCGACACCUAUAUGGGAAAUAGUUAAUUGUAAAUAUCUCAGCAACUAAAGGGUUUACAGCAAUGGAACUUCACACACUAGUAGCUGAUAACAAUAAAAACCAGUGGCUAAAAGGAUUUUGUCAAGGUGAUGAAUUCCAUGGGUUGGUAGAAACCAGAGCAAACUAUCCAGUUGUGUGGACAGAAGCUGCAGUUUCCAGUGUAGCACUGUAUAGUAGCUGCUGUUAUUGCUGAUCAGGCUGUUAUAGUCAAAGUUCAGGUUUCUUUGGACAGCCCCUAUCCAGCUGGUCUUCAUUAACAGUUGAACUACAUCCAGGAUCGGUUGCAGCAAAGGAAGAAGUUCAAUAUGGGAAAAUGCCACAUGUCACACAAAGACGCAUACUACAACAAAUCGCUUUAUGUCACACCUAAAAGGGAAAUUUCACCAGAGGCACAAAGGAUCACCAGGAUUUCAUGGAAUAUUCAGACACCAUGACCAUAAAAAGCACAAAAAUCCAACACAUCUGUACCUGGAAUUAAGUCUACUGUAGAGAAAUUGUGUACUUGGCUUGAAAAGAUCUUAAAGUGAUUUUGAUAGCCUGUUAUGGAAGACAAUUUGAUUUUUUGCAGUUCUUGUCUCAGCUCUGCUGUGCACAAAAAUAACUAGGACAUUAUUCAGCUGAGUUUCUUCUAAUAAGUAUUUACCAGUGUUCAAAGAACUGUACCCUAAACAGUUAUACUUGCUAUGACACUUCUUGGUAUCAGGUAUAAUGCCUAUAACUGACAGACAGACAAAUUUAUUAUGAAAAACUGGGAAGGCCUGCCAAGGGUUUUCAUGUUAAAGAAAAAUUUCAAGCAAUGACACACAUAAAUUUGGUGCCAUAAUGUUCAUUAUCUUAAGUAGAAAAUGACAAUUGUUAUUAGAAAUUCAAAUUGUGUUAUUUUACUCUAUAUUUAAGAAAAUUAAUAUAUUCAGACUUGUAAAUUUUAUCAUUUGUUAAGAUGUUACAUUAUAACUUGAAGCCUUAAUGCUCCCUUUUUACAAUCUGCCUAAAGAAACACUUCAUUUGUUCUUGUUUAUUAGUUAGCCAUUUCCUGGAUUGAAAAUACACAAACUUUUAGCUCAAGACUUUCCAAGGUUGACAAGUUAUUACUUUCUUUGAUUUUGCUUAAGUUUGUUAGUUAUUGUUAAAUACUUUGGUUCAAAAUUUAAUAAGGUGUAAAACCUUUAGCCUGCUUGUGGUAAGUGAUUCUGCCUUUGCGACCAGUGCAGACCAAGAUCAGCCUGUACAUCUGUGCAGACCAAGAUCAGCCUGUACAUCUGUGCAGACCAAGAUCAGCCUGUACAUCUGUGCAGACCAAGAUCAGCCUGUACAUCUGUGCAGACCAAGAUCAGCCUGUACAUCCUGCAGGCUGAUCAUGCAGCUGAUCAUCAGAUCAGCACUGCUGCUAUUCAGUAAGUAAAUUUUUAGUGAUAACCACUUCAAAUAAUAAAUGGUACUGCCAAAUUUGAAUGAUGACAUCAGUCUAUUUCAGAAAUUUAGCAUGUUAAAGGUUAAAUAAUAUCCUUAAGCAACAGAUGUUAUCUUUUGAUAGUAAAGUAAGGAGAAGACAACCUCUACUGUUUGCUAAAACAGCUUUCUGUCCAAUGCCUGAUUUUUUUUUGUAAAUAUUUAAUGACUUUCUGAAUAAUGAUGUUUAAACUAAAACUAUAAGUAAAGUAUAUAAACCCCAAACUCCUAAGGAGCAAGAAGACAAAAUUUCAUUUCAACUCGGGUAUAAAAUUAACUUUGUGAUAUUUUUCUUAGUGAUAAGUUUCUCAGUGAUAACUGGACAUUUAAUUCUAUAUCUGUGUAGAUUUUUGUAUAGUUAAUUCAGUUGUAUACAAGACAAUAUUUAUAAAGAUUUUUUUAUGUUUUAACUUACCUAAUUAUUUAUGUUAGAGAAAAUUGUUAAAUUUUAAUUACAGUCAAAACUGUACUUUAUAAGUGUACGUGUAAAUCCUAUUUCACUAUACUUAAAUAUUAUUGAAAGCUAAGGGACUCCAUUGGAAAUAAGUGACAUGUUACUUUCCCAGGCAGAAAGAUCAUUUUUUCCUGAUGUUUAUGUAUUAGCUUGAUUACACUUGUAAAGUACAAACAUAUAAGGGUUUAGUGCAUAUUAAUUAAUUCUAAUAUUUUUUAUUUCUGUACCAAUUUGUAUUUCGGUUAUAAUUGGAUCUUAUGCCUGAAUAAAAUUGGAUUGAAUUGAACUGCAUCGGAUUUUAAACUGAAUGGAACUGAACUGAACUGAAUUCUAAACUGAACAGAAUUUUAAACUGAAACUGAACUGAACUGAAUAUAGCUGGGUAAAAAAAUACAGUACAUUUUGCGUAAAGAGACCACCAAAGGGAAGGAAAAAACAUGCAACAUAUUUUGUCUUUGAUAACAUAAAAAAGGAACUGAAAAAGUGAUCUCCUAAUGCAAGUUGUCUAUAAAUCAAAUGUACUUGAUGAAACUUAUUGUGCUUUUGUGCUGCAAAUUUUGUAAUGUAGUUUUGUUGUGUCUAUGAUGAUUUCUCUAAAUAAACUUUAA
rnacentral:lncRNA from 1 species